UAGCAACACAAUGUUUAAAAAUAAAAAUUUUCAAAAACGAUCAAUUUAAUCGAUUAUGUCUAUUCUAAAUGGACAUCCCUAUUUGUUAGUCAAAUUGUCAUUCACUCGCAUCACCUUUUCUCUCUCACUCACUCUUGCUGUGUUGCUGUCUUGCUUGAUCCUUCUUUGUGAUUCGUUUGUGUUUUAGCUUUUAUUUUCGGAACUUUAUUAACUACAAACUUGGCUAUUCAAACGGACUCUGAUUGAUUGCAAUAACGACAUACUCAGCCUGGGAUUUACUGUUUUUGUGUGGCUCGGCCAAGGCUCGGCUGGUGGUUCUAUGGUGUUAGAAAAUGAGCAACUUAAUUAUACACAACAAUGGGCAGCACCUCGAUCGGUUACAGCUCAUGAUCUUAUAUGCACAACAUGUUGGACCCAAGCCCAAGAUACAACACAAAUGCAUCUACUUCAAAUCUUAGCAGAAAAUGUGUGCUUUGCAGUAGAACACUAGAGCCUAGAACACGUUCACAUCAGCUCAUGUCCCUGAGAACUAACACUCAACAUCAUAUUAACAUCAGGAACAUAAUUGUGGAACGACUAACUCCAUUAGAGGUUACUGCAAAUGACUACAUCUGUGGGGCUUGUCACUCAUUAUUGCAAAGAGAUACCACACCUACUUCACAAGACUCCAGAUAUGCCAACCGGUGCCCCGGUAGGUCACCAACAAGUUUGUGUUGGAUGUGGUUGUUCAUUAUUGCGAACUUGAAGUCAUUGUUUGGAUACAGAGAAUAAUCAAGAUAUAUUAAACAUUGUUCGAAAUUGGAUUCAACCCAGAGAGAUUCGUCCUUCAGAUCUUCUUUGCCAUAGAUACUAUCAGAGAGCACGAAUUACUACAGUUGGUGCUUAUUUAAUGAAGCUGAGGACCGGUGAUUCAAAUGACAGAAUAGCUACAUUACUUGGCAUUUCAAGGAGUACUCUUACAAAAUAUGUAAUGAAAGCACGCAGUAUGAUGGAGGAACAUUUCGUACCAGCACAUUUAGGGUUACAACAUAUUAGUAGAGAGGAAGUAGCCCAAAGAAACCUUUAUGUUCCAGUCUCUUUUCGGGAAGCCAGGAAACGAUUUACCACAAAGAAAGGCUAUUGUCAUCAUGGAUGGUACAUACAUACAUUUAUGUGCAAAAAAGUAGCAAUUAUGCAUACCAAAAAAAAAACUUAUUCCCUAUACAAAUAUCGGAAUCUCGUUAAACCAUUUAUGGUACUUUGUUGUGAUGGCGACAUCAUUGAUGUAUUGGGCCCAUAUUUAAUAGAAAAUGUAGAACA